GUGAAGACCACGCAUAGCACUGCAUUUGAAAAAAGAGCACAGACUCUGGAGCACAGCCAAAAUGCCAGGAACAAAAGGUAAUAAGUCGGACAAGAAGUCAACUACCAAGCCACCUCAGAGUCCUAAAGAGCAGCCGAAGAAAGGUGAUCAGAAAGGAGAUGACAGCAAGAAGCAAGGAGGACAGCCGAAGGGAGAGAAGCAAUAACUUCCAGGCGUUUGUGAAAAUGGCUUUGGAGACUCUGCUGGGGUCCUGCCGUCGUAAACAUGGAGGUCCUCGAGGCCGAGAGGGCUGAACGGCCCCUCCCACACGCACUGCUGCCAUCCGCCUGUACACUGGCCCAUUGUGAGGUCUGCAACAGCAUCUGCUCAGCUCUUCAGGCGUGAAGUAACCUGAUCCAUCACAUCUGUGGUCCUCUGCCCCUCACUGUCUCCUCGCUGUCCCCUCUCUGU